rnacentral:rRNA from 1 species
ACGAACGCUGGCGGCGUGCUUAACACAUGCCAGUCGAACGGAAAGGCCCAGCUUGCUGGGUGCUCGAGUGGCGAACGGGUGAGUAACACGUGGGUGAUCUGCCCCUAACUUCGGGAUAAGCUUGGGAAACUGGGUCUAAUACCGGAUAGGACAAUCGUUUAGUGUCGGUUGUGGAAAGUUUUUUCGGUUAGGGAUGAGCCCGCGGCCUAUCAGCUUGUUGGUGGGGUAAUGGCCUACCAAGGCGUCGACGGGUAGCCGGCCUGAGAGGGUGGACGGCCACAUUGGGACUGAGAUACGGCCCAGACUCCUACGGGAGGCAGCAGUGGGGAAUAUUGCACAAUGGGCGCAAGCCUGAUGCAGCGACGCCGCGUGGGGGAUGACGGCCUUCGGGUUGUAAACCUCUUUCGACAGGGACGAAGCUUUGGUGACGGUACCUGUAUAAGAAGCACCGGCUAACUACGUG